rnacentral:lncRNA from 1 species
GGAGAAAUGCUGGGACCAGCAGAUGUGCGCAGCUGGGAGGGAAGCCCCCUCCCUGACCACAGCCCCCAGCAGUGCCCGCCGGGAGCAGGGAGAGAGGGGCGCAGGGCUCCGGAGUGUGGCCUGAUGGCUGUGUGCAAAGACCUUCUCCAGGGCCUGCCAGGCCCCAGGACAGGCCCUGCCCUUGUGGACUCACAGCCUUCCUCCAAAGGGUGCAGUGUGAUUCGUAGCUCCUGCCCAGAGGUGCAGCACUCAUGUAGGAACUGCUCUGUCCAAC